ensembl:rRNA 5S_rRNA 5S ribosomal RNA
GUCUACAGCCAUUGAUGCCAGAAGCUUAGGAGAGUCAGGCCUGGCCAGCACUUUGAUUGGAGACUGCCUGGGAAUACCAGGUGCUGUAGGCU